rnacentral:rRNA from 1 species
GACGAACGCUGGCGGCGUGCUUAACACAUGCAAGUCGAGCGGUAAGGCCCUUUCGGGGUACACGAGCGGCGAACGGGUGAGUAACACGUGGGUGACCUGCCCUCAGCUCUGGGAUAAGCCCGGGAAACUGGGUCUAAUACCGGAUAUGACUUCAUGACGCAUGUUGUGGAGUGGAAAGCCUUGUGCGGCUGAGGAUGGGCCCGCGGCCUAUCAGCUUGUUGGUGGGGUGAGGCCUACCAAGGCGACGACGGGUAGCCGGCCUGAGAGGGCGACCGGCCACACUGGGACUGAGAUACGGCCCAGACUCCUACGGGAGGCAGCAGUGGGGAAUCUUGCGCAAUGGGCGAAAG